AAUCAACGCUGGCGGCGUGCCUCAGACAUGCAAGUCGAACGCGAAAUUCUCCUUCGGGGAAGAGUAGAGUGGCGCACGGGUGAGUAACACGUAGGUAAUCUACCUCUGGGUGGGGAAUAACAGCCGGAAACGGCUGCUAAUACCGCAUAAUGCAGCGGCACCAUAAGGUGACAGUUGUUAAAGCGGGGGAUCCUGAAAGGGACCUCGCGCCUGAAGAGGAGCCUGCGGCAGAUUAGCUAGUUGGUAGGGUAAAGGCCUACCAAGGCGACGAUCUGUAGCCGGCCUGAGAGGGCGGUCGGCCACACUGACACUGACAUACGGGUCAGACUCCUACGGGAGGCAGCAGUCGGGAA
rnacentral:rRNA from 1 species